CCAUCGGUGGUUCAGUGGUAGAAUGCUCGCCUGCCACGCGGUCGGCCCGGGUUCGAUUCCCGACCGAUGCA